rnacentral:rRNA from 1 species
UACGAAGGGGGCUAGCGUUGUUCGGAUUUACUGGGCGUAAAGCGCACGUAGGCGGAUCGUUAAGUCGGGGGUGAAAUCCUGGAGCUCAACUCCAGAACUGCCUUCGAUACUGGCGAUCUUGAGUCCGGAAGAGGUGAGUGGAACUCCUAGUGUAGAGGUGGAAUUCGUAGAUAUUAGGAAGAACACCAGUGGCGAAGGCGGCUCACUGGUCCGGUACUGACGCUGAGGCGCGAAAGCUAGGGGAGCAAACGGG